UACAGAGGAUGCAAGCGUUAUCCGGAAUGAUUGGGCGUAAAGCGUCUGUAGGUGGCUUUUUAAGUCCGCCGUCAAAUCCCAGGGCUCAACUCUGGACAGGCGGUGGAAACUACCAAGCUGGAGUACGGUAGGGGCAGAGGGAAUUUCCGGUGGAGCGGUGAAAUGCGUAGAGAUCGGAAGGAACACCUGUGGCGAAGGCGGCCCCCUGGUUGGAUACUGACGCUGACUACGCGAAAGCGUGGGGAGCAAACAGG
rnacentral:rRNA from 1 species